rnacentral:lncRNA from 1 species
AGAGACCGCAGUGCAGAGAGCCAGUACCCCAGCCACUGCACGACCCCCACCAACGGCACAGUGAAGCUGAGCGCCCCCUCUCCAUCCUUCUGGAGGAUCUUGAGGGAAGAGUCUGGGAACCCCGGGAAGUGAGCGAAGUAAGUCUGUGGGCUUGUGAGAUCGUGGCUCAGUGAGUAAAGGCAUUUGCCACCAUGCCCGGAUAACCUGAGAACUGUCUCCAGAACCUGCAUGGAAGAAGGCUGUGUAUGAUGGCAUUAUGUGCCCCUCCCCCACAAAUAUGCUCCCAAAAUAA